UACGUAGGGUGCAAGCGUUAUCCGGAAUUAUUGGGCGUAAAGAGCUCGUAGGCGGUUUGUCGCGUCUGCUGUGAAAACCCGAGGCUCAACCUCGGGCCUGCAGUGGGUACGGGCAGACUAGAGUGCGGUAGGGGAGAUUGGAAUUCCUGGUGUAGCGGUGGAAUGCGCAGAUAUCAGGAGGAACACCAAUGGCGAAGGCAGAUCUCUGGGCCGUAACUGACGCUGAGGAGCGAAAGCGUGGGGAGCGAACAGG
rnacentral:rRNA from 1 species